GACGAACGCUGGCGGCGUGCUUAACACAUGCAAGUCGAACGAAACGAGGGAAAGAGCUUGCUCUUUCCGGAAUUGAGUGGCAAACGGGUGAGUAACACUUAAACAACCUGCCUUCAGGAUGGGGACAACAGACGGAAACGACUGCUAAUACCGAAUAAUUUCCAAGGGCGGCAUGGCCCAUGGAAGAACAGGUGGCCUCUACCUGUAAGCUAUCGCCUGAAGAGGGGUUUGCGUCUGAUUAGCUGGGUGGAGGGGUAACGGCCCAACAAGGCGACGAGCAGUAACCGGUCAGAGAGGAUGAACGGACACACUGGAACGGAGACACGGUCCAGACUCCUGCGGGAGGGAGCAGGGGGGAAUCCUCCGGAAAGGGCGAAAGCCGGACGGAGGAACGCCGCGCGAGAGACGACGGCCGUCGGGUUGUAAAAAUCUGUGAUCCGUGACGAAAAGGCAGAGUGCGAAGAACAAACGGCAUUGACGGUACCGGAAAAGCAAGCCACGGCUAACUACGUG
rnacentral:rRNA from 1 species